GAAAAUUCUGCAAUGCGUGCAAGCGCGACAGAGUGACUCCCAGUGCCGAUGGUCUAGCGACCGUCGGCUUUUCUGGAAUGUAAAAAGUUUCAGGUAAUAAGGGCCGGGUAAGACUGGUGCCAGCCGCCGCGGUAACACCAGCGGCCCGAGUGGUAACCGAUUUUAUUGGGCCUAAAGCGUCCGUAGCCGGAUUGGCAAGUCCCUUGUGACAUCGGGCGGCUUAACCGCUCGGCUUGCAAGGGAAACUGUCAGUCUUGGGACUGGUAGGCGCCUAGGGUACUCCAGGGGUAGCGGUGAAAUGCUAUAAUCCCUGGGGGACCGCCAGUGGCGAAAGCGCUCGGCGAUGCCGGAUCCGACGGUGAGGGACGAAAGCCAGGGGAGCAAACCGGAUUAGAUACCCGGGUAGUCCUGGCCGCAAAGGAUGUGGGCUAGGUGCUUGGCGUUCCUCGAGAACGUCAGGUGCCGAAGGGAAGCCGUUAAGCCCUCCGCCUGGGAAGAACGGCCGCAAGG
rnacentral:rRNA from 1 species